CCUUCGAUAGCUCAGUUGGUAGAGCGAUGGACUGUAGUGAGAAAUUCUUGUAGACAUCCACAGGUCGCUGGUUCGACUCCGGCUCGAAGGA
rnacentral:tRNA from 1 species